rnacentral:rRNA from 1 species
CAUGCAGGCGGCUCAUUACGCAUGGCGUGAAAGCCCCCGGCUCAACCGGGGAGGGUCGUCGUGAACGGGUGAGCUUGAGGGUAUCAGGGGCUGGUGGAAUUCCCGGUGUAGUGGUGAAAUGCGUAGAUAUCGGGAGGAACACCUGUGGCGAAGGCGGCCAGCUGGGAUACACCUGACGCUGAGAUGCGAAGGCGUGGGGAGCGAACG